UCAGUGAGUGAGCUAACGCGUUAAAUGGUCCGCCUGAGGAGUACGGUCGCAAGAUUAAAACUCAAAGAAAUAGACGGGGGCUCACACAAGUGGUGGAACAUGUGGUUUAAUUCGAAACAACGCGCAAAACCUUACCAGUUCUUGACAUACAAAAUUUGGCCCGUAGAUUAUAAUACAGAGUAUUUUUGUACAGGUGUUGCAUGGCUGUCGUCAGCUCGUGUUGUGAAAUGUUGGAUUAAUUUCCUUAACGAGCGAAACCCUUGAAAUCUUUUUUUAAAUAUCUCUGCCAGAAAUUUAUCAUGAUUUUACUGCCAGUGAGAGACUGGAGGAAGGAAAGGAUGACGUCAAGUCCUCAUGACCCUUAUGGACUGGGCUACACACGUGUUACAAUGGUAAGCACAAUAAGCAGCAAUGAUGAAAGUCGGAGCGAAUCUUAAAAAUCUUACCUCAAUUCAGAUUGUUUUCUGCAAUUCGGAAACAUGAAGCCGGAAUCACUAGUAAUCGUAGAUCAGCAUUGCCACGGUGAAUACGUUCCCGGGCCUUGUACACACCGCCCGUCACACCAUGGGAGUUGGCUGCACCAGAAGCAGGUAGUCUAACCUUCGGGAGGACGCUUGCCACGGUGUGGUCAAUGACUGGGGUGAAGUCGUAACAAGGUAACCAAGGGCGAA
rnacentral:rRNA from 1 species